CUGUCACUUGGAGUUAAUAGCCCUCUGAAUGGACAGGAUAUCCCUCAGAAAUAUAUGCACCGUCCCCUCCGGUAAUCUUGUAAGAAGAAAGUAAGCAAAGUUCUGGAACAACGAGCUAUGCUGGUGGAACCACCAUCAGUGAGAACUUGCCAAUAAAUGACAAACACGAUAUCCUAUGAUGAAAGAGAAAAAUAAAUCUCAGCAAAACUUGAAACAUGGAACAACCAACAACUUACAGAGGAGAGAAGAUGGAAGGAAUUACAGCUUGCUUUCAAGAAUACAUUAAUGGACAGGUAACUGAAUUAUCCUGUGACACACUGAAAUCUACCACCUGUCCUUCAGCAGGCCAUUGUCCAAGACAUCCUAACUAUGGGAUGAGGCAAGGCAUUUGAGCUGUGAUCUUGAGAGAAGGAGCAAUGGCUGGGUAGGUUACCUACCUCUGCUGCUGCCUUCCAAUCCAGAUCCUUUCCCAGCUUCCCCACUCAGCUGAAGAAUCUAGAGCUGGGGCAAGAAGCAUCAGCACAGGCUUCCAGGGCUCCCCAUGCAAGAAGGUGGUGUGUCCCCGUUGUCUCCUUCCUUGCUGGACACUGGCAGCAACGUGCCUAAGGUCAGGUGCGCACAGAUGUGAAGGAGGGAGUCUGUGUUGGUCUCAGCGGCAGAUCUAACCAAUCAAUACACACCAGGUUUACUCAAAUCCAACCAGAGAGCUGGGUGACAGAACCAGAGAGCAGGACUGGGAGGUGGUGGCAGAAAGCAGACAGCAAUUAGCUUGUCACUGGGUCUAUGGACAAGAGGCCUUGAGAAUAAUCUACAUGAGAGGGAAGAGCUUUACUCCAGCAUAUUUUACCAGCUUCAGGCUUUGCAGCGUCAUGCUCUCUACACUGCAGACUGGGCACAGCUUGCUCCCAAAGGCCUCCUGGAUCCGCAGAACCAGGCAUUUGUGGUGGGCCUCAUCCAUGGCGUAGAAGUGGUUGAAAUCCAGGAAGAUGAUCUCUUGAGGGUGCUGAGUGAGGAACGCAUCAAUCUCCGUCAGUCCAUCCCAAACCUUGAUGCCAAAGAGCCCAUGGAUGAAGUAGAUCUCCUGGUCAGUAUCCCCUGGCUUGGAGGACACACGCAGGUCAAAGUAGCGGAUCCCAGCCUCCAGUUGCUCCCGGAAGGUCAGGUUCUGAGUUACAGACCAUUUCUUCAUUAGCUUCUUUACCAAGGAGAUCCGGGCGAGGCGUUUGACAGCUUGGGUUUGGUCAGGCCCCACUGGGGACUUUUCAUCUACCCAGUAACUGAAUGAAUCAUGGGAGCCUGAAUAAAGCAAUCAAGGGAGAAAACCAGAGUUGAGACUAUUUAGCUGAUAAGACGACAACAGAUAAGAAACAAGAGCGCAAAUACAUUAUAAAUAAGCACUUACAAAAACUUUCUGGCCUGCUGGGAAUGAAAUAAACAAAAAUGAAAGUAAUGCAGUCUUAUUAGCAGCUCAUUAAGCCUAGGGUAAUACCAUAAUUCUCACAUAUUGCUAGUGUAAGGUAAAUUAAUAACUUUUUAGAAAGCUCUUUAGAAAUAUGCUUAGAAAUCAGAGCUUUAAAAUAUUCAUUGCAUUUUGAUCUAGUAAUUUCAUUUCAGGGAAGCUACUCUGCAGGAAAUAAACUCAAACCUUUGGAAGAAACAAAGAUGGCAGCCAGAGGCUAUGACAAUAGAUGAACAGGAGGAGGCUUAAGUGUCUCUCAUAGGAUGUUUGUCCCUGGUAUUCAUUCUGUUGAAGUGUGGAAGGGUAUAGGAACACUGUGCUGAGCUCAGGAAUUUUGGGGCAGGCAUAUCAGUAAAGAAUAAUAAUCAUUCCUGAUGCCAUCAUAAUAAAAGUCUGUAAAGACCAGGACUGGAAUAACACGUUUCAGCACAGUUAAAGUUGUCUAUAGCAACCCACAGCCACCACUAUGCCAAAUGGAGAGCAGCUCUUAUUCUGAAAUCUUAGCUGGUCCACUGUAACUGAGAAGGAAAUAAAAGGUAUAGGAGUAUGAAAGGGAGAAACCAAAACAACCUUAUCUGCAGAUGAUGUCAUUUUGUUCAUAAAACACCCUAACGGUUCUGCCAGAAAAUUCUUAGACUGAUAGAGUUUUUUCUCAGCAGAAUGGCAGUAUAUAGUAUUAACAGAUAAUAUUAAUGCCAAUAACAAAUAUCUUGAGAAAGAAAUAGGGAAACAAGAAUACUUACAGUAGCCUCAAAACAAACAAGGACACAAGCACCCUUAAAGUAAACCUGAUGAAGGAAGUAAGGGAUCUCACACUGAAAAAUAUAAAAUGCUGAAAAACUGAAGAAAAUACCAGACAACAAAAUACCCUUUCAUGCUCACGGAUUGGCAGAAUCACGAGAUGACAGACAGCUCUCAAGUAGUGAAGUGCAAACGGCCAAUAAGCAGAAAAACGUUUAAGCUUACUAGCCAUCGGAGAAAAGCAAGUUAGAAAUACAUCGCAAUUCCAUAGCAUUCCAGUCUGAAUGACAGCCACUGAGAAAACAGCAACAGAGGCUGGAAAAGUGUAAAGACAUCUUAGAACCUUUGUGUGCCUUUAUUGUAGCAAUGUUUGGUACAGCCAUGACGGAAUUUAGAAAGAAGUUUCUCAAAAAACUCAAAACACAUCUACCAUACAACCCAGUUCCACCAUAUACCCAAAGGUCCUUAAGUCAACACACAACAGAAACACGUCACAGUGUUCACUGCAGCACUGUACACAACCAUCGUGAAGCUGACCUAGGUGCCCAACAGCAGAAGAAUGGUGAGAUGACACGUGGUGAACAUGCCAGCUUCCAGCCGUAAAGAAGAAUGAACUUAUGUCGUCUGCAGGAAAACAAGUCCCGCUAGAGAUAUUCACAGUAAGGGAAUUAAGCCACUCUCCGAAACACACUCAGCACGCUCUCUCCCGUUUGUGGUUCCUAUGUCUUAAUUCAACACAUGAAAUGUGCAUACAGGACAUGAGAGCAGAAACAAAACUGAAUCGGAGGACAAAAGAGACUAAUGUGGGGAGGGCUGAGAAAGGGGGGAUAAGGAGGCACGGAGUGUGUGCUCAGUGUAGGAUAUAUACUUGUAUGAAAAUGCCUGUAUCGAACGGUACCGUGAGCAAUGAAUACAUAAUGGAGUUCACCAAAACAGAAAAUCUCUAGGACCUUUCUCAAAUACACAGUACAUUAUUGUUUUGUAUAAUCACCUCAAAUAUUUUGAUGGAACUAGUAAAAUAGGCUCUCCCUUCCUAUUUGUUUAAAAUAUAGUACAUGAAAUAUAAAGGAAUAUAUCUGUAAGCAGUGUGUGCAUACCUUUGACUAUACAAUGCCAUUAUAUAAAAGGAAGGUGUACUUAAUCUUACACUAACUUGUGUACUACUGGAGCCAUAAUUUUGAUCUUCUAUAAUCUGAUUUUCCUUAAAAACUUAAUUUAUUCCAAUUUAUCUUAAUUUCAAAACAAAAUAACCUUAAAAAUAAUUGCACUCACUAGCCCUUGGGUUUAACCAGAAGGCACCAGGACUAGGGCAUAAAAACAGAACAUAACACCUACAAAUAUACAGCAUGUACGCAUGUGUGUGUGUUGGGAUGGAGAAGGGGCACAUUUGCUUAUUUGUGCAUAGAGGCCAGAACCUUGAAACAGACUCCCACUGAAUCUGGAACCAAGGCUGAGGACCAGCAAGGCCCUGCAAUCCUCUGGCCGCAGGCCGCAGGCCCUCACUCUAACUAUGGGAACCUGGUCCUUCACUAUCACACCUGGAUGCUUUUAUUCAUACUACUGCAUUGUCAUUAGCUCUCUAUUGGACUGAAUUCUAAAGCAACUGUUUCACACAUACAUAUGUACACACAUACACACAUACAUGGAUAUAAUAAAAUAACAAGAGACAGUUGGUCACAUUAUUUCCUUCUUCUGAGAAGUAUCAUCCUCUACAGACGUUAUCCCAUUGUCUCAGAAGUAAGUGUGAACAAAAGAAAAGCAGGGCAGAAAUGAUGCUUUAUUUGUCUGUAGCAUCCAGAGCAUGGAAGAGAUUCAGUCAAAUACUAAGGAACAGUAUAUAUAUUUGUUAACCUUUCAAUGAACCGAAUUUCACAAGUGAGAAAAUUACCAGCAUAUUUCAGGUGAAAGAGAAGCUAUUACUAACAGGAAUGUGGGGCGAGUCCCCCUGGGCCUUCUGCAUUGGAUCCUGUAGCUAAUGAGGCUCACUGAGUUCUGCUUAAUGCUCUGCUUCCUUUGGCUGUACAGAAACAGGGAAUUUUUAUACCUCCUUACUGAGAGAUUUAUUACAAAUCCCUUAGAUAUAAUGGUGAACAGCUAGUUCUGUCUUCCUUCUAAAUUGCAUUAAUGAGCCAGCUGUUUGGGACACAGCAUAUAACAGAGUGCAAGGCACACAGUCAACUUAGUUCUUGCCCGGGCACCAGGGAAUAGCUGUUAGCCAAGCACGGAGGACAGGCAAAUCUCCUCUGGAGUGUGCUUGCUGGUGCUGAGCCCAGUUUUAGCUCCGCAGGGAGAUGUGCUAACAACCUCCAAUGUUUUGCUCAGCUGAGAACUGUGCAGAAAUGUGACAGCCAUGGGACCCAAGGGGCCAUUUCUCAUUGCACAGGACACACACCAUUCCCAGUCCACUCCACCGAAGAAAGAGAAGCCCACCCCACAGGAGUGAGAGCGAGCAGAACAGCCAGUCUCCCUUUGACUCUGUCUUCCUUUCAAUCUCCCAACCAUCCAAACAUCCAGGGUUCCAUCCCCCACCCCACCUGUUGUCUGCAGGGUGUGUUGUUGGUGUAGACGACCCAAUGCUCCUCAGGGAUUGUCUUACUUUAUCACAUAAGUCAAAAGCAAUCAUCAUCCAAUCAGACACCUUUUCAAUUUUUUUUUUUUUGCCCUUUUUACUUAUGCCCCGCCCGAAAACUUUUGUUAACAUAGAGUGGAUAGGAUAACAGUGAAAACAGUGUUAAGUGUUUGUAUCUGGUUGGGUAAAAGGGACGGGAUGAUGGGGAGGAAAGACUUUAAAUCCAGUCCCAAACGCCAAGUCUCUGUGACUGGAUUAUUUAUUGGCAGAAGUUCUGGAGUACUUUGUAGGGGAUGGGGAGGUGGGGGGAUGGGGGAGCUAACAAAUACUUCCUGAGGGUGACAUCAACAGUAAGUUUUAGAAAUAAGUCAGUCAUUGUGUGUUCAGACCACCAGGUGGCGCCUUCCCCGGGAAGCCGGAACCGUAGAACUCACACCUGUAAUCCCAGUACCCAGGAGGCAGAGGCAGGAGGAUGCCAUGAGUUUUAUGUAACCUGGACUACAUAAUGCAUAGCAAGAACUGUGGAUAUAUGAGUCCCUCCUUCGUGGUCUGUCCUCCCAGGACUAAUUUUAGCCCUUACAGAGGAAAGAGGUGGGGCUGGAGAGAUGAUUCAGUUAGGAAGCGCUCUUUCUGCUCUUGCAGAGAGUCAGAGUUCAGUUCCCAGCACCCACAUGGUGGCUCACAACCACCUGCAGCUCUAGUUCCGAGGAAGGAGAUAUCAUCUUCUGACCUCCAUGGACUCCUGCAGACACACACACACACACACACACACACACACACACACACACACACAUUCAUGCAAGCUAACAGAAAUAUACAUAAAAAUAAAAAUAUAUAAGUCAUUUUUAAAAGAUGAAGAUUUUUUCUCCUAGUUCUAGAAAGGUAGUUGUCUGCUAUCUCUUUAGUUUUAUAGUUACUUUAUAUUAAUUUCUUCUUUUUUUAUAACACCACAUCACUUUAUGUUUCUUUUUCCUCUUGAUGUAUGUGAAACCCUGGAACAUACAUGUGUUGGGAGCAUAGCACGGAGGUCCUUGUGCCCACAGAUCAACAAAGAAACCAGGAUGUUAAGCACAUAGGACUGUCUUUCCAAUGGGAAAGAUGAAAACCUGCUUUUCCAUCCAGAAAGCUGAGAAGAGGGAGUGAUAAACGGCCGGGUGAUCUGUGUUACCUGUCGGUCCAGGCCAUACCAAGCUCUUACAACCAAGACUGGACCAUUGCUGGACAGGAUCAUCUAAGAGGCCAGGAAGAAGAAAAUGAGCUGGCCAUGUGAAUUCCUGGGACAGGCAGUGUGUUCCUUAUCUGGAACACAAAUCUCUGCUCCCUUCUUUCUGCUGAUUGUUUCCUGGGGA